AAAACACAUUGACGUAUUAAUUAACACAUGAUAACAUGUCGCAGUUCGAUCAUUAGAUCUGUGCGUGAUGAUCACAUUUUAAAUUUCCGGGUGUUCGGCUACAAUACCAAAAUGGUGUAAUCGCUGCGGCUCUGCAGACAUCGACCUACACACGUAAAAACGCACAAGUUUUAACAAACCUGCAGCAGACUUGUAGCAAUCCUGUUCCAACAACUUGUCAACAGGAUGUGUUCGCACUGCUUGUCCCCAGCUUGUUGAC